GGAAUAACGCUGGCGGCAGGCCUAACACAUGCAAGUCGUACCAAGGUACCCGUAACUUGCUCUCGGUUGACGAGUGGCGGACGGGUGAGUAAUGUCUGGGAAACUGCCUGAUGGAGGGGGAUAACUACUGGAAACGGUAGCUAAUACCGCAUAAUGUCGCAAGACCAAAGAGGGGGACCUUCGGGCCUCUUGCCAUCAGAUGUGCCCAGAUGGGAUUAGCUAGUAGGUGGGGUAACGGCUCACCUAGGCGACGAUCCCUAGCUGGUCUGAGAGGAUGACCAGCCACACUGGAACUGAGACACGGUCCAGACUCCUACGGGAGGCAGCAGUGGGGAAUAUUGCACAAUGGGCGCAAGCCUGAUGCAGCCAUGCCGCGUGUAUGAAGAAGGCCUUCGGGUUGUAAAGUACUUUCAGCGGGGAGGAAGGUGUUGUGGUUAAUAACCGCAGCAAUUGACGUUACCCGCAGAAGAAGCACCGGCUAACUCCGUGCCAGCAGCCGCGGUAAUACGGAGGGUGCAAGCGUUAAUCGGAAUUACUGGGCGUAAAGCGCACGCAGGCGGUCUGUCAAGUCGGAUGUGAAAUCCCCGGGCUCACCCUGGGAACUGCAUUCGAAACUGGGCAGGCUGGAGUCUUGUAGAGGGGGGUAGAAUUCCAGGUGUAGCGGUGAAAUGCGUAAAGAUCUGGAGGAAUACCGGUGGGGAGGGCGGCCCCUGGACAAGGACUGACGCCUCAGGUGCGAAGCGUGGGGAGCAACAGGAUUAAUACCCUGGUAUCCACGCCGUAACCGAUGUCAUUUGGAGGUGUCGCCUGGAGCGUGCUUCCGGGCUAACGGUAAACCGC
rnacentral:rRNA from 1 species